CUGCAUAUGGAAGUUCCCAGGGUAGGGGUCAGAUUGGAGCUGCAGCCCCCACCCACGCCACAGCCACAGCAAUGCCAGAUCAGAGUCUCAUCGACGACCUAUACCACAGCUCACAGCAACACCGGUUCCUCAACCCUCCGAAUGAGGCCAAGGAUCGAACCCACGUUCUCAUGGAUUCUAGUGAGGUUUGUUACCCACUAAACCACAAUGAAUCAGUGAAGGGCAUUUUCUCUCCACCAACUUUUACGCCUUAAGAUAAAUAUUAGUAGAGUUGGCACAAAUAACAUCUAUCAGUGAAAUCGGUCUUUGAUCAUGUAAUUAGGACUAUACCAAAAAUACAUGGAUAUUUAAGCAUUUUAGGAAUAAGAUGACUUAACAUGAACACGUCAACAUUUUGAUUCCUUUUUUUAAAUUAAGAAAGUAGGAAUAGCAGAUAAUUUAUUUCUUUAACAAAAUUGCAACUAUACAACUAUAUACAGUAGAGUCCCUUCACUGUUAAGUUCUAACAGUUGGUUAAUCAUUUCAUCAAAAAGUUCCAUGAAAGUAAGAAUGGGGGGGGGGGGUGAACAAUGUUUACUAAAGGUUUUAUUUUAAAAUAUAAAAUCCAUAAAAUCCAUGUUUAUUCCCUAGCCUCUCCCUCCCAUUUUUUUGGCUGCACCUGCAGCAUGCACAGGUCUAGGGGUUGAGCUUGCACCAGAGCGGUGACCAAGCCACACCAUUGACAAUUCCAGAUCCUUAACCCACUGAGCCACCAGUGAACUCCUAUUCCCUAGUCUUUUGAUGUAGUGCCAAGUCCUUGUCUCUUAAGGUAAAUUUGCUGAUUAUACUACUGUCUUUCUCGCCUAAAAUCCAGCCCAAGUACAUCACCUAUGACUUCCAGUUUCACUAUCUUUGAAGUGCGGUGGGAAGUUAAAAGUAUCUGAGGGUAAAGUCCUUCCAAUUUUGUACAUUUCUCUGGCCUACAUGUAAUUUAGAAGAAAACAUUUUUAGGAAUUCAUUUUUAAGGAGUAUGACCAAAGUAUUCAACAUUGUUUUCAGUCUUAUACUUUACCAAAUUAUGUGAUACCUAAUUUAAUUACAUGAUCACAAUUACAAGUAUAGCUGGCAUAAGCAAGUCUGGUUUAAAACACAGCUAACUCAGAGUUCCCAUCAUGGCACAGUGGUUAACAAAUCCGACGGAACCAUGAGGUUGCGGGUUCGAUCCCUACCCUUGCUCAGUGGGUUAAGGAUCCAGCAUUGCUGUGGGUUGUGGUGUAGGUUGCAGACUCGACUCAGAUCCCGCAUUGCUGUGGCUGUGGCGUAGGCCGGUGGCUACAGCACCCAUUUGACUCCUAGCCUGGGAACCUCCAUAUGCCACGGGAGCGGCCCAAGAAAUGGCGAAAAGACAAAAAAUAAAAAUAAAUAAAUAAAACACAACAAACUCUUAGUAAGCCCACAACUGAACCUGUUGGGAGCAGAAGCGGUGGCAGGGGAUUAACAGUGUGCAGUGUAGUACAGGCAUUUGUUAAUACAUUUUAUGGAGAAAUAGAAGGUUUCUGGUAAAUCCAGUGGGUUAAGAAUGUCUAUCAAAACUUUAAAACAUUGCGUUACCUAAUAUUUAGAGAAAGUUAAAAAAUGAAAAAAAAUCAUCAAAAGCGGGAAAAAAAAUGUUUUCCAAAAUAUCAACCCUUGCAAAUAUAUCGGAAUUCCAUGCUUAUUUUUGUGAAAGAAACCAUAAGCAUCUAUAAAUACUUCUGGAGCUAAAUGUAGCAGGUAAAUUUCUAUAUAUUGCAAACUUAUUCUCAAUUUAUCCCCACAUGAAAGUACAACUAUCACUCCAUAUUACAAUCUUGUCCAAUCUUGUCUAACAUUCCUUAGAAAUAAUUCUGAAUUAACAAUUAAAGAAGUUGGAAACAAUGAGCCAAGUACAAAGCUAUGAGAUGACAUACUAGUUUUUCUCUGAAAGAAUACUUCCUUCUUCGCACUACUGAUACUAAAUCUCUUCGUACUCUUGAUUUCUUCUUUCCUUAAGUGAGCAAAACUGUAACACCCCUUAGAAGAACUAUACCCGGUUCUUUUUAUGACUUCUUGAUAACGACUGCAUUAUCUCUAUCCCAGCACCUCCGGCAAACAGGAAGUAAAAUUCGUUCAUGCUGAGUUGCAAGUUAUUGAUAUGUAGACUGGUGCAAACCCCAUGCAGUUUAUAUUCUUGUAUAUAAUAUAAAUUUAGUAUCAAAAUUUGAGAUUCAAGAAAAGGACUUUACCAGUAAAUUGAAAUUUAAGAAACCAAGUCCCUCUACAGAUUUUGCCAAAGAAGUCCCUUAAAUUAAUUCUAAAAGUCAUUCCCUGGAUUUUUUUUUUUUUGGUCUUUUUAUGCCUGCACUUGGGGCAUAUGGAAGUUCCCAGGGUGGGGGUUGAAUUGGAGCUGCAGCUGCCAGCCUAUACCACAGCCAUAGCAAUGCAGGAUCCGAUUCAUGUCUGCAGCCUACACCACAGCUCACAGCAACGCCAGCUCCUUAACCCACUGAGUGAAGCCAGGGAUCAAACCUGCAUCCUCAUGGAUACUAGUUGGGUUCAUUACCACUAAGUCACAAUGGCAACUCCUGAAUUUUACUUUGCUUAUUUGCAAAUUAAUGUUAUAAAAUCUCAUUAUUAUACUUUAAUAACCUACGCUAUGUUCAAAAAUAUGGAAGGAAGUCUUACAAAAAGAGCUAUAUUAAACUAAUGAUGCGCAUGGCAUAUUACAUUGAAACACCAAGUCCCUUAUCUAUGUUAUGGUACAAUGAAGAAAACAACUAAAUGAUUCAAGACAAAGUUAAACAGUAAAUUUUUAAUAACUGAGAUAACUGUACAUAUUAAUCUAUAGUAUUUUUCACCUAUGCACAUAUAUAUAUAUACACUGGUGAACACAAAACUAAAUGCUAAUUGAUUUGCAGAGUUUAAGUGAAAUUAAGAAACACUAACC
rnacentral:lncRNA from 1 species